GAGUCUUUUUGCUGGUGAGAGAUGAGUGCUGCAUAAUAACAGCCCAGUACACCGUUGCUAAGGAGUUCCGGUUGCUACGAGAGAGGGAGAAAGAGAUGCUGAGGUGAUCUGGGUAUCACUGGACCUAAGUGGACAUUCCUUGACAUCUGUGCUGAGAUGGCGGUCCAUACACACCGUCUUAUUACACAUCCGGAGAGUCAUUUGUGAUGCUCGGGGGGAUGAUGAAAGUCACGGGCACGCUGAACUGGAGUGUUUGUACCAUCGGAUGCCCGCAGAGAAAAGACAAACCAGCAGGACCAAAAAAGCUGUGAGACGCACCUCCUUCCAGAGCAACCUGACCUCUCAAGGCAGAUGGUUCAUUACGGUUAUACACCGGAGAUUGACGCUGGCAGUAGCAGAAGACGGAGGAGGCUCUGAAAUGGAUUAACGGCCUGUCAAUAAGGAAACGUUAUUCAUUUAUAUAAAGGAAAAGGUAGACAGAGAUGCAUGGGGACAGUAAGUAGCCAUCAGUGGACACGAAUCUGGGUCACAAGACACAAAAGAGGGACAAUAUGUAUGUGACCCUGGACCACAAAUCCAGUCAUAAGUAGCACAGUUUUGUAGCAAUAGCCAACAAUUCAAUGUAUGGGUCAAAAUUAUGUAAUGCUAAAAAUUAUUACGAUAUAAAAUAAAGAUCAUGUUCCAUGAAGAAAUUUAGCAAAUUUCCUAGUUUAAAUAUUUAAAAAAUGUAUUUAUCAUU